UGCAGAAAAUUAGAAGUUUGAGGAAGGGAGACUUCGAGCUCUAUGGUGCUGGAGGAGAUUCUAUCCAAGCAGAAGCUGUAGGGUCAUAUAUCUUGAAGUUUCCUUCUGGGAAGAUCUUAGAGCUAACAAAUUGUUAUUACAUGCCUAAGAUCAUUAGAAAUAUUGUAUCUGUACCCUUGUUGAUAAAACAAGGAUAUCAAAUAUUUGCAACGAGCAAUG
rnacentral:lncRNA from 1 species